rnacentral:rRNA from 1 species
UACGAAGGGGGCUAGCGUUGCUCGGAAUCACUGGGCGUAAAGCGCACGUAGGCGGCUUUUUAAGUCAGGGGUGAAAUCCUGGAGCUCAACUCCAGAACUGCCUUUGAUACUGGGAAGCUUGAGUCCGGGAGAGGUGAGUGGAACUCCGAGUGUAGAGGUGAAAUUCGUAGAUAUUCGGAAGAACACCAGUGGCGAAGGCGGGUCUCUGGGCCUGUACUGACGCUGAGGAACGAAAGCGUGGGGAGCGAACAGG